rnacentral:rRNA from 1 species
CCCUUAGAUGUUCUGGGCCGCACGCGUGCUACACUGAGUGGAUCAGCGGGUCAGGUUGCGCGAAAGUGUUUCCUAAUCUUGAAAUCCGCUCGUGAUGGGGAUUGACGGUUGCAAUUUUCCGUCAUGAACGAGGAAUACCUUGUAAGCGCGGGUCAUCAUCCCGCGCUGAAUACGUCCCUGCCCUUUGUACACACCGCCCGUCGCUCCUACCGAUUGAGUGGUCCGGUGAGGCUUUGGGAUCUGAGCAAAGAGAGCGUUUCGCUCGUUUUGCCCGGAAAACUCAGUCGAACCUUAUCAUUUAGGGGAAGGAGAAGUCGUAACA